rnacentral:rRNA from 1 species
UACGUAGGGGGCAAGCGUUGUCCGGAUUCAUUGGGCGUAAAGAGCGUGUAGGCGGCCAGGUAGGUCGGUUGUGAAAACUGGAGGCUCAACCUUCAGAGGUCGACCGAAACCAUCUGGCUAGAGUCCGGGAGAGGAGAGUGGAAUUCCUGGUGUAGCGGUGAAAUGCGCAGAUAUCAGGAAGAACACCGAUGGCGAAGGCAGCUCUCUGGGACGGUACUGACGCUGAGACGCGAAAGCGUGGGGAGCGAACAGG